GAGAACGUGCCCUUUUGGUUUCCUCAUUCAGCUUUACAUGUGGGACUGCUGCACCAGCUCCUUUCCGCCGUGGUACUCUGCAGCUGUGGACCAUGUCAGAGCUGUUGAAUUCAUUAACACUGCAUCAGAUGCUGAGAAAAUCGUGAACAUGAUGCGAGCAGAUGUGUCCGCUUACCUGACGGUGCAGCGUCACAUUACAUCCGCGCUUCAGCUCCUCCGCACGGACGGACCGGGGGACGGUGGGUGUCAUCAGGCCACCGCUGCCUCGGCCUAGAGGAAACCGGGAGUCGGGUCUUACACAGUCGCCUCGGCGGGUUCGCAGUCCCGCUCCUGCCGCUCCUGCUCCUGGGUGUUUUCCACACAAGACACGGAACAGGCUCCAAGUCAAGUUACACACAUUAGUAAACACGACACUUCCGGUCACUUUCGAAAUAAAGCCUUUCUUUGCA